rnacentral:rRNA from 1 species
GAUGAACGCUGGCGGCGUGCCUAACACAUGCAAGUCGAACGAAGCACCUUACCUGAUUCUUCGGAUGAAAGUUUGGUGACUGAGUGGCGGACGGGUGAGUAACGCGUGGGUAACCUGCCCUGUACAGGGGGAUAACAGCUGGAAACGGCUGCUAAUACCGCAUAAGCGCACGAGGAGACAUCUCCUUGUGUGAAAAACUCCGGUGGUACAGGAUGGGCCCGCGUCUGAUUAGCUGGUUGGCAGGGUAACGGCCUACCAAGGCAACGAUCAGUAGCCGGUCUGAGAGGAUGAACGGCCACAUUGGAACUGAGACACGGUCCAAACUCCUACGGGAGGCAGCAGUGGGGAAUAUUGCACAAUGGGGGAAACCCUGAUGCAGCAACGCCGCGUGAGUGAAGAAGUAUUUCGGUAUGUAAAGCUCCAUCAGCAGGGAAGAUAAUGACGGUACCUGACGAAGAAGCUCCGGCUAAAUACGUG